ACAGCAGCAGCUCUUCCUGAACCUCUCCCUGGGAGAUUUCACCUCCUGUCCCCUUGGGGGUCUCCGUGGGGACCCAAGGUGGGUGUAAGAGCCAGGCAGCCCUUCUCAACUCCAUCAGCCCGGAACUCCAGCCCCCGAAGUCCCCCAAGGCUGUGGCCAUUGGACACUGGGUGGAUGUGUCAGGCCGUGGGGGUCUUCGGAGGUGCCCCUGUAUACUCAGAUGUGGGUGUAGUUUGCACACUCAGGCAUCGACCGAGAGAAAGCCCCGAGGAGGCAAAGCCUAGGCCAUGUGGGUGCUUUCCUCCGCACCCCACCAGAGUCUGGGCAGGGACACUUCAGGGCCAGAACGAAGCCCUGGGCUCAGAGCUCAUUUCCUCAACUGCAAACGGUCUCCCGCCAUCUUCCCGGUCUCCGGAAAUGGCAGCUCCAUCCUCCCAGCUGCUCAGACAAAAACUUUUAUUAACAGAUGCAACCCAUUAACAAUUUUGCUUACUGUCCUUUUUUUUUUUUUCUUCUGAAACAGGGUCUGGCUCUAUCGCCCAGGCUGGAGUACAGUGGCACGAUCUCUGCUCACUGUAUCCUCCGCCUCCCGGAUUCAAGCCAUCCUCCCAUUUCUUUCAGCCUCCCAAAUAGUUGGGGCAACAGGCACCUGCCACCACGCCUGGCUGAUUUUUUUGUAUUUUUAGUAGAGAUAGGUCUUGCUAUGUUGCCCAGGCUGGUCUCGAACUCCUAGACUCAAGCAAUCCACCCGUCUUGGCCUCUUAAAGUGCUGGGAUUACAGGCAUGAGCCACUGCUCCCAGGCUAGUUACUGUCCCUUCUAAUGCAUCCAGAAUCCUGACUUCUCCAAGGCCCACCCUGGUCCGGCUUCCAUCAUCUCUCCCCAGAAUUGCUCCAGUUGCCACCUCUCUGCACACCUUGCAGCCCCCGACAGUCUGUCCCCAUCCCCCUAAUCCCCUCC
rnacentral:lncRNA from 1 species